CCUACGGGAGGCAGCAGUGAGGAAUAUUCGUCAAUGGACGCGAGUCUGAACGAGCAACGCAGCGUGAGGGAUGACUGCUCUAGGAGUGGUAAACUUCUUUUAUAAAGGAAUAAAGUGAGGAGCGUGUGACUUUUAGUAUGUGAUUUAUGCAUAAGGAUAAGCUAACGCCGUGCCAGCAGCCGCAGGCAUACGGAGGAGCCGAGCGUUAUCCGGAUUUAUUGGGUGUAAAGGGAGGGUAGAUGGGUUGUUACGGUAGUUGUGAAAGUUUGGGGCUUAAGCGUAAAAUUGCAAUUGAUACUGUCUGUCUUGAGUACAGGUGAGGUAGGUGGAAUUCGUGGUGUAGCGGUGAAAUGCGUAGAUAUAACGAAGAACUCCGAUUGCGAAGGCAGCUUACUAACCUGUCACUGACAUUGAUGCUCGAAAGUGUGGGUAUCAAACAGGAUUAGAUACCCUUGUAGUC
rnacentral:rRNA from 1 species